GACGAGCGCUGGCGGCGUGCUGAACACAGGCAAGUCGAACGGAAAGGCCCUGCUUUUGUGGGGUGCUCGAGUGGCGAACGGGUGAGUAACACGUGAGUAACCUGCCCUGUACUUUGGGAUAACUUCAGGAAACUGGGUCGAAUGCCGGAUAGGAGCUCCUGCUGCAUGAUGUGCGUUGGAAAGUUUCGGCGGUUGGGGAUGGACUCGCGGCUUAUCAGCUUGUUGGUGGGGUAGUGGCUUACCAAGGCUUUGACGGGUAGCCGGCCUGAAAGGGUGACCGGCCACAUUGGGACUGAGCUCCGGCCCACCCUACUCGGGGCGCCAGCGGUCGGGAGUUUUGUACUAUGGCAGGCAGCACGAUGCAGCAAAGCCGCGGGUGGUAUCACGGCCUCCGGCUUGCACACCGCUUUCGCCUGAGACGAUGCGUGAGUGACCGUAAUGAGUAAACAUGCCCCCGAUAACUACGUG
rnacentral:rRNA from 1 species